rnacentral:rRNA from 1 species
AACGUCGCGAGACAGUUUGGUCCCUAUCUGCCGUGGGUGUCGGAGAAUUGAGAGGAGCUGCUCUUAGUACGAGAGGACCGGAGCGGACGAGUCACUAGUGUAUCGGUCGUGACGCCAGUUGCGAAGCCGAGUAGCCAUAACCCGGAAGAGAUAACCGCUGAAAGCAUCUAAGCGGGAAACUCGCCUCGAAACAAGUUCUCCCAACCAGGGCCGUGGAAGACGACCACGUAGAUAGGUCGGAAGUGGAAGUGCGGUAACGUAUGAAGCUAACCGAUACUAAUAGCCCGAUCGGCUUGAUACU